AAAAACAUCGCCUCCCGCAAAUACUCCAACGUAUGGGAGGUCUUGCCUGCCCAGUGAAUUAGUUUAAACGGCCGCGGUAUCUUGACCGUGCAAAGGUAGCGCAAUCACUUGUCUUUUAAAUGAAGACCUGUAUGAAUGGCGGAACGAGGGCUUAACUGUCUCCCCCCUCAGGUCAGUGAAAUUGAUCUGCCCGUGCAGAAGCGGACAUAUAUAUACAAGACGAGAAGACCCUUUGGAGCUUAAGACACUAAGGCCAACUAUGUCAAAAACCUACCCAAACUAGAUUAAACUAAAUAAUAACUGGCCUCCGUCUUCGGUUGGGGCGACCACGGGGGAAAACAAAGCCCCCAUGAGGACUGGGAAAACCCUAAAACUAAGAGAGACAUCUCAAAGCCACAGAACAUCUGACCACACAGAUCCGGCCUCACGGCCGAUCAACGAACCAAGUUACCCUAGGGAUAACAGCGCAAUCCCCUCCCAGAGUCCUUAUCGACGAGGGGGUUUACGACCUCGAUGUUGGAUCAGGACAUCCUAAUGGUGCAGCCGCUAUUAAGGGUUCGUUUGUUCAACGAUUAAAGUCCUACGUGAUCUGAG
rnacentral:rRNA from 1 species